GCAAGUCGAGCGGUAACAGAAAUUAGCUUGCUAAUUUGCUGACGAGCGGCGGACGGGUGAGUAAUGCUUGGGAAUAUGCCUUUGAGUGGGGGACAACAGUUGGAAACGACUGCUAAUACCGCAUAAUGUCUACGGACCAAAGGGGGCUUCGGCUCUCGCCUUUAGAUUGGCCCAAGUGGGAUUAGCUAGUUGGUGAGGUAAUGGCUCACCAAGGCAACGAUCCCUAGCUGGUUUGAGAGGAUGAUC
rnacentral:rRNA from 1 species